UACAGAGGGUGCGAGCGUUGUUCGGAAUUACUGGGCGUAAAGCGCGUGUAGGCGGCCAUGCAAGUCGGAUGUGAAAGCCCUCGGCUCAACCGGGGAAGUGCACUCGAAACUGCAAGGCUAGAGUCUCGGAGAGGAUCGUGGAAUUCUCGGUGUAGAGGUGAAAUUCGUAGAUAUCGAGAGGAACACCGGUGGCGAAGGCGGCGAUCUGGACGAUGACUGACGCUGAGACGCGAAAGCGUGGGGAGCAAACAGG
rnacentral:rRNA from 1 species